UACGGGGGGGGCAAGCGUUGUUCGGAAUUACUGGGCGUAAAGGGCGCGUAGGCGGCCUGCUAAGUCGGACGUGAAAUCCCUCGGCUCAACCGGGGAACUGCGUCCGAUACUGGUGGGCUCGAAUCCGGGAGAGGGAUGUGGAAUUCCAGGUGUAGCGGUGAAAUGCGUAGAUAUCUGGAGGAACACCGGUGGCGAAGGCGGCUCUCUGGACCAGCACUGACACUGAGGCACGAAAGCGUGGGGAGCAAACAGG
rnacentral:rRNA from 1 species